GUUCAAUCACAGCACUGUUUCAAUAGAGAACUCCAUAUAUUUAAAGCGCUGAUACUGUUUUCCCUCUAAAUGACAGGCUUGACAGAUGGGCCGAAAGCACUGCAGACGUUUGAACAAGGAAAUAGAGAGGGAGCCUGCUGGAAGCAAGGCUUCACGCAGCCAGCCGCGGAUGAUGAAUAGAGUGUGAUUGUGUCUGACAGAGCAUGUGCCAGGCCUCCAAUCAUUUGUUUUUCCUCUGUUUGCCACUGAGCUGCAUGGCCCCACUUCAGAACAGUGAGUCUUUGGACCUUUCAUUUCCCUGAGACCAUGGUAUACCUGCCUUUAGCUCAAGAAAGAAUGCUCAUUUGGCCCAAGAAAAAAAUAUCUGAAGAGCCAGACAUCAGCUACAUGUCAGUGGUAAUAAAUCUGUCUUAGUGGUCCUCAGUGCUCCAGUUUAUGGCCCAACAGCAGCUGCUGCAUAUCUGAUUAUGGACAUUGCCCUCAGAUCUGAGAUAGUUCUGGAAGCCCAAGAGGAAAUCACUGCCUGGAGACAGCCUGUUGUUUUUCUGUUUAGAAGCCUUGAAAUGGACAAAAUCCAGCAUUCCAAACCAUCUGUGAGAAGAUGACAAGGUUUCACAAAGGUACUCAC
rnacentral:lncRNA from 1 species